rnacentral:rRNA from 1 species
GUGGGGAAUAUUGGGCAAUGGGCGCAAGCCUGACCCAGCAACGCCGCGUGAAGGAAGAAGGCUUUCGGGUUGUAAACUUCUUUUACCAGGGACGAAACAAAUGACGGUACCUGGUGAAUAAGCCACGGCUAACUACGUGCCAGCAGCCGCGGUAAUACGUAGGUGGCGAGCGUUAUCCGGAGUUAUUGGGUGUAAAGGGCGUGUAGGCGGGACAGCAAGUCAGAUGUGAAAACCAGAGGCUCAACCUCGGGCCUGCAUUUGAAGCUGUUGUUCUUGAGUGUCAGAGAGGUAAUCGGAAUUCCGUGUGUAGCGGUGAAAUGCGUAGAUAUACGGAGGAACACCAGUGGCGAAGGCGGAUUACUGGACGAUAACUGACGCUGCGGCGCGAAAGAGUGGGGAGCAAACAGGAUUAGAAACCCGUGUAGUCC